rnacentral:rRNA from 1 species
GACGAACGCUGGCGGCGUGCUUAACACAUGCAAGUCGAACGGAAAGGCCCUUCGGGGUACUCGAGUGGCGAACGGGUGAGUAACACGUGGGUGAUCUGCCCUGCACUUUGGGAUAAGCCUGGGAAACUGGGUCUAAUACCGAAUAGGACCACGCGCUUCAUGGUGUGUGGUGGAAAGCUUUUGCGGUGUGGGAUGGGCCCGCGGCCUAUCAGCUUGUUGGUGGGGUAAUGGCCUACCAAGGCGACGACGGGUAGCCGGCCUGAGAGGGUGACCGGCCACACUGGGACUGAGAUACGGCCCAGACGCCUACGGGAGGCAGCAGUGGGGAAUAUUGCACAAUGGGCGCAAGCCUGAUGCAGCGACGCCGCGUGAGGGAUGACGGCCUUCGGGUUGUAAACCUCUUUCAAUAGGGACGAAGCGCAAGUGACGGUACCUAUAGAAGAAGCACCGGCCAACUACGU